rnacentral:snRNA from 1 species
AUUCCUUUCUCGGCCUUUUGUCUAAGAUCAAGUGUAUUAUUUAUCAGUUUAAUGUCUGAUACGUGGGCCAUUGGCCCACAUGAUAUUAAAUUAAUUUUUCUUGGGGAAGGCCCACCACAAUAGCUUGCCACUGGGGCUUUCAUUCGUCGCCCAUGCGUUGCUUCUAUGAAAUUCAA